GUUUAGUAACAUCUCAGCAUCUAACCUAGUGUCAGCUUUCUUUUUUGAGCCUGGAGGCUAAGAAUGGUUGCAUCUGGUAAGUAUUUGGAUGGAAGACCUCCUGGGAAUAGCACAUUUAGUAAACC
rnacentral:rRNA from 1 species